rnacentral:rRNA from 1 species
AGUGAACGCUGGCGGUAGGCCUAACACAUGCAAGUCGAACGGCAGCACAGUAAGAGCUUGCUCUUACGGGUGGCGAGUGGCGGACGGGUGAGGAAUACAUCGGAAUCUACUUUUUCGUGGGGGAUAACGUAGGGAAACUUACGCUAAUACCGCAUACGACCUACGGGUGAAAGCAGGGGAUCUUCGGACCUUGCGCGAUUGAAUGAGCCGAUGUCGGAUUAGCUAGUUGGCGGGGUAAAGGCCCACCAAGGCGACGAUCCGUAGCUGGUCUGAGAGGAUGAGGAGCCACACGGGGACUGAGGCAGGGCGCAGACUCCGACGGGAGGAAGGAGGGGGGAAGUUGGGACAAGGGGGGAAAGAAGGAAGGAGCAGUGCCGGGGGGGUGAUGAAGGCAUUAGGGUUGUAAAGAGCUGUUGGGGGGCAAGAAAAGAAGCGUGCGAAUACCGCGGUGGGAUGACGGGACCGGAAGAGUAAGAAACGGCUAACUACGUG